rnacentral:rRNA from 1 species
AGCGAACGCUGGCGGCAGGCUUAACACAUGCAAGUCGAACGGGCGUAGCAAUACGUCAGUGGCAGACGGGUGAGUAACGCGUGGGAACGUACCUUUUGGUUCGGAACAACCCAGGGAAACUUGGGCUAAUACCGGAUAAGCCCUUACGGGGAAAGAUUUAUCGCCGAAAGAUCGGCCCGCGUCUGAUUAGCUAGUUGGUGUGGUAACGGCGCACCAAGGCGACGAUCAGUAGCUGGUCUGAGAGGAUGAUCAGCCACAUUGGGACUGAGACACGGCCCAAACUCCUACGGGAGGCAGCAGUGGGGAAUAUUGGACAAUGGGCGCAAGCCUGAUCCAGCCAUGCCGCGUGAGUGAUGAAGGCCCUAGGUUGUAAAGCUCUUUUGUGCGGGAAGAUAAUGACGGUACCGCAAGAAUAAG